rnacentral:tRNA from 1 species
GCCACUUUAGCUCAGCGGUAGAGCAGCGCAUUCGUAACGCGCAGGUCGACAGUUCAAAUCUGUCAAGUGGCU